rnacentral:snoRNA from 14 species
CCGGCCUCUAGAGGAGCUGCAGAUGUGGCUGCUGUGUCACAAUCCCGUCAGUAGGUGGCAGAAGGAGGAGAGAGGUUACACUCUGUUCUCACCUAUGAGUGUAUCUAACAUU